rnacentral:rRNA from 1 species
GGGGAUGUAUAGUCCUCUUAUGAGGCUAGUUAUGUUUUGAGUAGUAAUAGAUUAUGAAAAAAACAUAAUAUCAACUAUGUUGAAUAAAGUUCUAGAUAGAAUACUGAUUAUGACUAUUUUCUAUCUACAAGUCUUGACCAAAUUACGUGCCNACAGUCGCGGUAAUACGUAGAAGACUAGUGUUAUUCAUCUUUAAUAGGUUUAAAGGGUACCUAGACGGUAUGAUUAACCCACAACAGGGAAAUAGUCAUACUAGAGUUUUAUAUAAGAAGGGAGUAUUUACGGAGUAGAGAUAAAAUUUGUUAAUACCGUGAGGACUGAUAACGGCGAAAGCAUUCUUCUAUGUAAUAACUGACGUUAAGGGACGAAGGCUUGGGGAGCGAACAGGAUUAGAUACCCUAUUAGUCCAAGCAGAUAAUGAUGAAUGCCAUAGAUUAGAUUUUUUUUAGUUUAUAAAUGAAAGUGUAAGCAUUCCNCCUCAAGAGUACUGNGGCAACGCUGGAACUGAAAUCAUUAGACCGUUUCUGAGAACAGUAGUGAAGUAUGUUAUAUAAUUCGAUAAUCCUCGUAAAAUCUUACCACAAUUUGAAUGAUAUUAACAGUUAAUGUAAUAUUCUUAUAAUAACUGUUUAGUAAAAAAAAAAUUUUUUUUUUGUUUGAUAGAUCAUAUUAAGAGAAUAUACAGGACUGGCUCUAAAGAGCUGGUUCAUUGAAGAUAAUUAAAUACUACAAAAUUUUCCUACAUCUAAUGGCACAAAAUUUGUGACAUUAGAUGGGACCGCUUUUCAAUUGAAAAUGGUAAGAAAAAGGAGUACUUAAUUAUUUUUACUAACAAUGAUAUUACAGGUGUUGCACGGUUGUCUUCAGCUAAUGUCGUGAGAUUUUGGUUAGCUCCAUAAAAUUAGCGUAAACCCCGGUUUUAUUUUUUAAUUAUUUGGAUAAAACAGUUCGUCAUUAUAUUGAUAUUUGA